GUAUCCAUUUGGCUCUAGAUUUCUGCUGGAGGAUACUUUCUUCAAUCAAUGACCACUUCUCAAUCUUCAAUAAUAGAUCCUUUUCUUUUGCCUGCAAAUCAUCUGUAUAUUGUGAGCUCAUCUGGUGCUGGAUGAACUUUAGUUCCUCCCUGCUAGAAUCUAUUUUCUGUGUGAUGUUCUUAAAUUCUCUAACAUUUAGAGAUUUUAGAACAGGUUUA
rnacentral:lncRNA from 1 species